rnacentral:ncRNA from 1 species
CGAUGAAGCGGGAGGUUGCUACCAUAUGGGUAGGUUUUUCCGUGGAGAAUGUCCAAUUCUUGAAAUUGGG